UACAGAGGGGGCAAGCGUUGUUCGGAAUUACUGGGCGUAAAGGCUCGUAGGCGGCCAACUAAGUCAUACGUGAAAUCCCUCGGCUUAACCGGGGAACUGCGUCUGAUACUGGAUGGCUUGAGUUCGGGAGAGGGAUGCGGAAUUCCAGGUGUAGCGGUGAAAUGCGUAGAUAUCUGGAGGAACACCGGUGGCGAAGGCGGCAUCCUGGACCGACACUGACGCUGAGGAGCGAAAGCCAGGGGAGCAAACAGG
rnacentral:rRNA from 1 species